UUCCGGUUGAUCCUGCCGGACCUGACUGCUAUUGGAGUAGGACUAAGUCACGCUAGUCAAAGGUGCGGAAUGGAGCACCUGGCGUACGGCUCAGUAACACGUAGUCAACCUGCCCUAAGGACGAGGACAACCACGGGAAACUGUGGAUAAUCUUCGAUAGGAAAUUUGGCCUGGAACGGUAUCUUUCCUAAAUCCGCUUCGCCGUGAAGUACGGGCCUUAGGAUGGGGCUGCGGCCGAUUAUGCUAGAUGGCGGUGUAAAGGACCACCAUGGCGACGAUCGGUAUGGGCAAUGGAAGUUGGAGCCCAGAGUCGCUCACUGAGACAAGGGAGCGAGCCUUACGAGGCUUAGCGGUCGCGAAAACUCGCCAAUGCACGAAAGUGUGAGUGGGCUACUCCAAGUGUCAUUCUUACGGAUGACUGUCGCUCAGUCUUACCAGCUGAGAAAGGAAGGAGAGGGCAAGGCUGGUGCCAGCCGCCGCGGUAAAACCAGCUCUUCGAGUGGUCAGGACGAAUAUUGGGUCUAAAGCGCUCGUAGCCGGACAUGUGGGUUCUUGGUUAAAUCCGACAGCAUAACUGUCGAUCUGCUGGGAAUACCGCAAGUCUUGGGAGCGGGAGAGGAUAGAGGUAGUCGUAGGGCAGGGGUGAAAUCCAGUGAUCCUACGGCGACCACCGAUGGCGAAGGCAUCUAUCUGGAACGUCUCCGACGGUGUGGGGCGAAAGCUAGGGGAGCGACCCGGAUUAGAUACCCGGUUAGUCCUAGCCGUAAACGAUGCCGACUAGGUGUUACUGCGGCCAAGAGCCGCUGUAGUGCCACAGCGAAGGCGUUAAGUCGGUGGUCAUAGGCUGUUUCCUGA
rnacentral:rRNA from 1 species